CCUACGGGAGGCAGCAGUGAGGAAUAUUGGUCAAUGGGCGAGAGUCUGAACCAGCCAAGUAGCGUGAAGGAUGACUGCCCUAUGGGUUGUAAACUUCUUUUAUAUGGGAAUAAAAUGUUCCACGUGUGGGAUUUUGUAUGUACCAUAUGAAUAAGGAUCGGCUAACUCCGUGCCAGCAGACGCGGUAAUACGGAGGAUCCGAGCGUUAUCCGGAUUUAUGGGGUUUAACGGGAGCGUAGGUGGAUUGUUAAGUCAGUUGUGAAAUUUUGCGGCUCAACCGUAAAAUUGCAGUUGAAACUGGCAGUCUUGAGUACAGUAGAGGUGAGCGGAAUUCGUGGUGUAGCGGUGAAAUGCUUAGAUAUCACGAAGAACUCCGAUUGCGAAGGCAGCUCACUGGACUGCAACUGACACUGAGGCUCGAAAGUGUGGGUAUCAAACAGGAUUAGAUACCCCAGUAGUC
rnacentral:rRNA from 1 species